UGAGGAACAUGACCUUCGGCGGGGGAUAGCCGGCCCAACGGCCGGGUAAUACCACGUACGACCACAUGGGGACAUCCCUGAGUGGUGAAAGCAGCAAUGCGCCGAUGGAGUGCCUCGCGGCCUAUCAGCUAGUUGGUGAGGUAACGGCUCACCAAGGCGACGACGGGUAGCUGGUCUGAGAGGAUGGCCAGCCACAUUGGGACUGAGACACGGCCCAGACCUNUACCGGGGAGG
rnacentral:rRNA from 1 species